rnacentral:lncRNA from 1 species
CUCUCUUUAAAUAAGGCCGAAAUUAUGCUAUCGCUUUCAGUGAUUCCAAAUUUCCACGCGCUAGAUUUAUUCCUGAUGGGUGUAGGGAUUGAAAUUUGUGUAAUAAAAUAUGAUUCCAUGUAUUUCCU